GACGAACCGUGCGAACGUUGUUCGGAAUCACUGGGCUUAAAGGGCGCGUAGGCGGGCCCACAAGUCCGGGGUGAAAUCUUUCGGCUUAACCGGAAAAGUGCCUUGGAUACUGGGGGCCUUGAGGGAGGCAGGGGCGGAUGGAACUUCCGGUGGAGCGGUGAAAUGCGUUGAUAUCGGAAGGAACGCCGGUGGCGAAAGCGAUCCGCUGGACCUCUUCUGACGCUGAGGCGCGAAAGCCAGGGGAGCGAACAGG
rnacentral:rRNA from 1 species